GCGCCUCGACGAGAUGAUUGCGUCACGA
rnacentral:sRNA from 1 species